AGCGGGUCUUUCCUACGCUAAAAACCACUGAGUGGAGUAUUUAGUACACAGGAAGUCGGCCAGAGAAACAUUUCUCAUAUUUGAAGGCCGGAAAGAGGGACAUUUCUGACACCGGAAGUCAGUGAGAGGACUCUUUCCCACACAGGAAGUCAGCUAGAGAGCCGUCUCCCCUCUCUGGAGCCGAGAGAGGCCGGUUUCCCCCACCAUAGCAGGGCUGGGAGAAAGGGAUGGGGAGAGUCCCUCCUGCCACUGACCCAGGAUGGAUAAAAGUACCCCUUUCAUAGAAGGAAGAAAAUGGGAACAAAGGUGCUGCUGAUCAUCUGAGGUUGCCUGCAUGGCAGUGAAGAACAUGGACCUUUGGGUAGCCCACCUGGGAGGAAUUUUCCAGAGAUCACUGUCUGAUGACCCUGUCUUGGAAUUGGAGCCAUGCAAGUUACACUGACCACGUUUGGGUUGGGAUAUUGAGGAGGUUAUGGUUAAAAGCAUACGAUGGGAGAUCAUAUUGUACUUGCGAGUGAGACCCGGCUGGAGGAAUGUUUUAAUUCUUCGGAAAUACCAAGUGGUCUCUGUGGGAGUGGAUCCACCAC
rnacentral:lncRNA from 10 species